rnacentral:rRNA from 1 species
UACGGGGGGGGCGAGCGUUGUUCGGAAUCACUGGGCGUAAAGGGCGCGUAGGCGGCCCGCACAAGUCUGCGGUGAAAACCCCCGGCUUAACCGGGGGCCGGCCGUGGAAACUGUCGGGCUAGAGGCCGGGAGAGGGCAGCGGAAUUCCCGGUGUAGCGGUGAAAUUCGUAGAUAUCGGGAGGAACACCAGUGGCGAAGGCGGCGAUCUGGGAAGAUACUGACGCUGAGGUGGCGAAAGCGUGGGGAGCAAACAGG